rnacentral:lncRNA from 1 species
UUUAGUUUGAAAUAAGUGGAAAACAUGGACCUGUUGGAUGUGGGAUUAUGUUGAAACAGUACAGCAGGAGUCCAAAUGGGAGAGGAAAUCUGUGCACAACCAGUGCCACCACGAGAUAAAUAAGCAGCAGGAACCAGGAGGAGGAGGAUCUGAGGAGCUGUGACCUUGCAUUGCUCUUGCUCUACAUGGCCAACUGCCUGAACUGAACGUAUACCCUUGUAACUCCGGAAUCUGAUUCAAAUAAUGUGCUUCCUUGGAGCUGCCAAGAGAAAACGCAUUCCCACGGUAUCAUCAAAGGAGCUGUGUCCAGCACCAGUUUUUCCUACCAACCAGAUCAAC